AGCACAGUAAGAGCUUGCUCUUAUGGGUGGCGAGUGGCGGACGGGUGAGGAAUACAUCGGAAUCUACCUUUUCGUGGGGGAUAACGUAGGGAAACUUACGCUAAUACCGCAUAAGACCUUCGGGUGAAAGCCGGGGACCUUCGGGCCUGGCGCGGAUAGAUGAGCCGAUGUCGGAUUAGCUUGUUGGCGGGGUAAAAGCCCACCAAGGCGACGAUCCGUAGCUGGUCUGAGAGGAUGAUCAGCCACACUGGAACUGAGACACGGUCCAGACUCCUACGGGAGGCAGCAGUGGGGAAUAUUGGACAAUGGGCGCAAGCCUGAUCCAGCCAUACCGCGUGGGUGAAGAAGGCCUUCGGGUUGUAAAGCCCUUUUGUUGGGAAAGAAAUCCUGCCGGUUAAUAACUAGUAGGGAUGACGGUACCCAAAGAAUAAGCACCGGCUAACUUCGUGCCAGCAGCCGCGGUAAUACGAAGGGUGCAAGCGUUACUCGGAAUUACUGGGCGUAAAGCGUGCGUAGGUGGUUGUUUAAGUCUGCUGUGAAAGCCCUGGGCUCAACCUGGGAAUUGCAGUGGAUACUGGGCGACUAGAGUGUGGUAGAGGAUAGUGGAAUUUCCGGUGUAGCAGUGAAAUGCGUAGAGAUCGGAAGGAACAUCUGUGGCGAAGGCGACUAU
rnacentral:rRNA from 1 species